rnacentral:rRNA from 1 species
ACGAACGCUGGCGGCGUGCUUAACACAUGCAAGUCGAACGAGACGAUUGAAAGCUUGCUUUUGAGAGUCGAGUGGCAAACGGGUGAGUAACGCGUAGACAACCUGCCGCAAAGAUGGGGACAACAGUUCGAAAGGACUGCUAAUACCGAAUGUUGUCAGAUUCCCGCAUGGGAGACUGAUUAAAGAUGGCCUCUACUUGUAAGCUAUCGCUUUGCGAUGGGUCUGCGUCUGAUUAGCUGGUUGGUGGGGUAACGGCCUACCAAGGCGACGAUCAGUAGCCGGUCUGAGAGGAUGAACGGCCACAUUGGAACUGAGACACGGUCCAGACUCCUACGGGAGGCAGCAGUGGGGAAUCUUCCGCAAUGGGCGAAAGCCUGACGGAGCAACGCCGCGUGAGUGAAGAAGGGUUUUCGGCUCGUAAAGCUCUGUUGACGGGGACGAAUGUGCGAGAUGCGAAUAGUUUCUUGCAAUGACGGUACCCGUCGAGGAAGCCACGGCUAACUACGUGCCAGCAGCCGCGGUAAUACGUAGGUGGCGAGCGUUGUCCGGAAUUAUUUGGGC